GCUGCGCGUAACACCACACUCUGGCUUGAUUGCUUGACUUUUAAUCGGAAGUGGUCACCGGGCCUUAUCGCUAUUCUUCAAUGUUGUCUUUGGAAUUUUUGUCGUCAUUUCGUCUGCGCCAAUGUUGGUCAACAACAGAAACUGGAUCACACCGCACUCCCAACACUGAACUUUGAAUAUUUGUGGCACAACUUUGCGUUGCCGCUUAUUGCGAAGUCCCUUAAGGUAAAGUUGCGUUUGAAUAUCUCCAGGCUGAGUGCAUAAUGCCCUGCAUUUUUGCCCUAUACAUUUAAUGUACAUCGACCGGGGCAAGUAGUGCAAAUCUGAGCCUUUUACGGCCUUCAAUCUGCGUGCCAGUUUGUAGUCCGCGCCGUUAGUGAAAAUAUGCUGUCCGAACAUAGCGAACUAUGGUGACGUUCGCGUACUGCUGUGUAUCGCACUACGCGGUGGUGCCUUUUUAUCGGGGAGCUUUUCAUCUCAUCGCGCAUGGUCGCCAAAUUGAAUCCAGGUUGUUGCCAGCACAGACUGGUUGACUAUUUGUCCCUGUCCCCUGUUUUCUGGUGAGGUAUAUACUGAUAUUUACUUUUGAAUUCGGUAAACUCAAUAGACGUGAACUGUCUGAUACUGUCUGUAUAAUUAAUUUCAGGUCCUCCUAACUGUGCGAAAUUACCAAAGUGAUCAAGCACUGUGAAAAGGUGCGUGCAGUCAUGUCGCGUGUGUGGAUUUUCGCCCAAAAUUCCAUACACAAUUUUGUAUUAACAUCUGUUGAUUUCCUUACCAAUAAGCGGACAAGUAACGCGUGUCGUAUGCCUUGUCUUUUUACAAGCUUCACAGUUGGUGAAUUAUUAUCAAACAUGGAUUAACAUAAGGAGCCAGUAGAAGGUUUGCUAGGCCAAAGUCUUCGUAAUUCUACCAUGCAUCGCCAUAUUGCCUUCAUGCACAUUUUGUAUAAGCGUCGAUGGCAAUGCUUCAGGAACCCAUAGUUUCCAGAAUUCUAUUCUGUGGAACUGGGUUCUUUUGAAUAACUGUCCCUCUUCAACUCGUAAGUGUGGAAGCUUCUCUAACAACUUUUUGCAUUUCAAAACAUUCCUGGCUGUCAAAUUUGGUGGUCUCAAAAACGAACACCGCAACUUCCUCUACUUCAAACAGUUUAAUGGAGAACAUAUCUGCACCAUCCCGUUCUGCCUAAAAAGCUUCAAAGUUGCCUAGUGCUUUUCAGGAGAGCGAUCUGCAGUAUGCUCCUAUCUUCUUUGGAUCGGUGUGCAAUACGCUGGUAUUUGAAACAGAAUUUAGAGACUUGUUCCUUCCAUCAGGCAAUCGCAGACUUUUUUAGUUGCUUUCAGUGCUCCACAAAUGUUUUCGUAGUGAUUAGUAGUAACUAAUCACGUGAUUGCGCAAGUAUUGAGGAAUAACCUUGACCAUCAAUCUGCACAGUCUCUGAGCAGCGUUUCACAGCCCUCAAGGCAUAAUUUGAAACAAAUAGAUAGACCUGCCGUUUUUUGGCCAGAACGCGUACUUUAGACUUUCUGAUUCCCUUACUUCAUUGCGAUUCUUGCCAUCUUAUUGUAUUAUUGAAGAACCUCAGGUGGUGGCCAGUUCGGUGACCUUGUCCUCACCUGGGUUCUCUGCGUCUCCUCUCGUGGAAUUUUACUCCCAGUUCGGCCAUACAAAAAAAUUAAAUUAAUAUAUUUUAAAACUGGCGGGAAUUUUCAGCCUUGCCCUUUUCAGAAAGUACACGCCCGUGGAAAAUUUUAAUCUACCCAUCUUGAUCGCCACUUUUUUAUUUUGGAUUUUAAAAAAAGUGAAUCAAAUAGAGAAUAAAAAUAUAAAUAAAAAAUUAAGUGUUGGAAUAAACAAAUUCCGCCCAUAUUAGUAUUGCGGUAAGAAUCCUGAA